ensembl:lncRNA
CACAAAUAAUUUUUAGCUGGCUUGGGCAAAAUGUGACAAGACAGUUUUGGUGAUGUGUUUUUGGAAGUCCUGAGAAUUCACAAAGGGGAGAAGUAUAAUACAAUGAAUCCACUUUACUCAGCAAUGGGAAGUGCCAUGAGGCGAUUAAUCAUUGUGGACAGAGCUCAGGAAAUGAUUAGAAAAAGUUCCGUCCCAGCUAUCCAAGAGUUUCCUGAGACUUGAAGUUGUUCUCAAACUUUGUAACACUCUAGGUUCCAACUAACUAUGCUUUUCCACCCCCAGAGAGUUCCUUAGUAGAGCUGUGGUGGUUUCCAUCUCACUCCCUUCAUGCUACCAAAUGACAGGAACCAUCUCGGGAGCAGAGGUGAAUUGGGAGGAUUCUUUUCUUUUUAAUUGUGCUACUACUGGUGCUAUCCAACAAAAGCCAUGUUACCAUGAGGCCGUCUUUAUGAACUUUCCCACCAGAGCACCCUGGCCUCCCUUGUAUGUUUCCAGCUUCUGAAUGCAGAAAUCCUGGUGGGAGCUGAAGUAGUCAUCAUGGUUCAGGAGAUGGAAGCCACCUUUUGAGAGAGCAGAAGAAAAAGACACAAGAAGUCAAACUCCACAGAAUCAUGGUGCCACCUUACCAGCCCUGGACUCCUAUAUUGAAGGGAAGCAAACUUCAAUUAAUUUAAGUGGCUAUUAUUUUUGUUCUUAUUAUUAUACAGCAAAACCACUACUGUAACUACUGAAGUUGAUGUCAUCAUUAUUCUCAUUUUAAAGAUGGAUAGACUGAGACACACAGAAUUUAAGUGAUGGAGUGGCAGAGCCAGGUUUGAACUAGAGAAUCUGGCUCCAGAGUCUUCCCUGUUAACCACAGCCCUCUAUUUUUCUGAUAAGAUGCCAUGCACACUUGUGUUUAAUUAAUUUUAACAUGUGAUUUUCUGCCAUUUGUGACUUAGGGAUGGGAAAGUCAGAAGGUUUUUUUGUUUGUUUUUGUUUUUUAAUGCCUUUCCACAUUUUGUAUCGGUGAUCAGGUUGAAAUCAAUAUGGAUGUGUCUAGAUUCAUUCAGGGAAGGAUGGUGAGGCUGAUAAUGGAACCAGAAACAGGGUGGCAGAAGUGAUGAUGUGCAGAAGAUAAGGAUGGGGAGGUAAUGAAAUUAAGAUGAGAAUGUGACUAAAGAGGGCCAAUUUCUGCACAGCUGAUAUGGAAAGCAAAUAACAAGUGUGUGAUAAAGCAUAAGGAGAUAAAGUAAGUAUUUUUACAUCACUGACCUAUAUGGCCCCAUAUCAGGUGCAAUCAAGGUUGCCUGGCAUCUUGCAGUUGGUCCUACUAGCCAGCAGUUUCCCUGGGACAACAAUGAUCCUGCAGCCUAAAGGAACACGUAAUGUUCUGGAAACUUGAGUUUCAGUGUGACCCUCUCCACAGCAAUCUUUUCAGCUUUAGGUCUUCCUGGGAAGCCUCAGAGCAGCAUUUCCUGCAGCUUCAUUAAAGAUACUGUUUCACUCACCUGUCUGUCCUGGCUUCUCCUUCUGUAAGCAGCAAAGGCAGGAUAACCCUUGGUAUUAGAAAGGUAUAAUGCUUAAAAUUAGAAGACUCUGAAAUCAUCUCAAAUUGACUCCUCACUUUUCAUAUAGGUUGACCUAAAUUUCAUGUGAGAAGAGAGAUUCUUCCUUUUACCACAUAAUUUUUGAGCGUGUUCUUCACUUUUCUCUAUUUCAUUUUCCUUAGGUGUGAACAAAAGACUUGAACUAAGUGAGUGCUGAGGGCAUUUACAGGAAUAGCCUUCCAUGGUUUGCCCUUCUUCAUAGCUUUGAAUUUCCAAACCACUGAAAAAGAAGUCACAAACCAUGCAUUUUCUUUAAUACAUCCUUACUUUUCACUGCCUCAGUCACUUAAAUAAUGGGAAGUUUUGUGUGUUCAUGCCUUUGUCUAAGAAAUCAUGAAAGAGGAAGUGUCUCAUUAGGAAAGGUGACUUGUAUUUACUUACACUAUGAUUAACAAAAAGACAAUUCCAUCUUUAGGAAAGUGGAGUUGUUCCAGGGAGAACAAUGAGAAGAUGCAUCUGGACUCCACAUUUCUGCCUUCUAGGCUUGCUCUCUCAUUGAAAGGAGAAUUUCCUAACUUCUAACUUCAUAAACAUUGCUCUAAGAGAGAAGUAGUAAUGACCCUCACUGACAAAGAAUGCAAUGCAAUUCAGAAUAUGCUUGAUGCAAAUCAUCAUCAAAUUGAUAGUGCUUUACACUUGGCAAAGUGUUCUCACAGUACAAGGCCCCCUGCCCAAUGUGGGCAAAACACAAUGAAUAAAAUAUGAUCCCUUCUUAGAAGGGACCUAUAAUCCAGGGUAGAAAAUAGACAAGUGCAUAAAUAAUUCUAACUCAAGACAGGCCCCCCAUUUAUGCUUUAUUAGAGGUACAAAGAAAAUAAUAGCAGAACAGCAGAGGGAAAGGUGACUUCCCAUAGAAUUUUAAAUGGAGGAUUCUUGAAAAAAGUGAGAAUUUGUCGAGGCUAUUGCUAAUAGCAAACAUAAUUGGUUACUUUACCUAUUUCUUUAAUUUCUUUCAAUUUUUACAAUAACCCAAAUGAGAAAAGUGCAACAUGAAGAAAAAAUUUGAAAAUGCAGGAAAUUUCCUGUCUUGUGUAGACAAGACAUUCUUUG